CGUCAGAAGUUGCUGUGGCUUGUUCUCAAACAAUUCAAGUUUUUACCGAAUUCUGAGGACACAACUUCCACAAAACUGUAAUGGCUAGCUGCAGACAAACUGUCAGAUGAAGUCAACCUCUUCAGAAGUAGAUGCAUGAUUGAUGGGGAUACAGCCCAGCUUCAAGAUUCAAUGAUGACUGCACCAACAGAAGGUUAGCUGCAGACCCACGGUAAGAUGAAGUCCAACCUCUUCAGAGGUAGAUGCAUGAUGGGGAUACAGCCCAGCUUCAACUUGAAGAUUCAAUGAUGACUGCACCAACAGAAGACACUGUAUUGACAGAUGAAGUCUACCUCUCCAGAAGAAGAUACAUGAUUGGAAUGCAGCCCAGCUUCAAGAUUCAAUGAUGUCUUCUUCAUCGACAGGUUAUAGCUACAGACACACCAAUGUCAUAUGAAGUCUACCUCUCCAGAAGUAGAUGCUUGAUGGGAAUACAGCCCAGCUAAGGACUCAACAAUGUCUUCCCCAUCAACAGUGAGGGUUGUCAUCUCCACAGAUAUCUACUCAUCAACAACCAAGGAGGGGUCUGAGACCUGCAGUUGAUGAGCUUCCUCAUGUACAACAAGUCUGGAAAAUGAACUACUCUCUUCUUGAUAAAAGGUGUGCCAUUUGCAGAUGAUAUCUAUCUGACGAUUCUCGAGACCUGCAACAGUGCCCACUAAGUGUCAAACAACAGAACAGAGGUAUAUGUAAAAUCCCUGUGGGUGUUUUUCACUAACAUCAAAAAGUGGUCUGUAAUUGCAGCACUUAUACAAACAGAAAACCACACAUGCCACAACAUUGAUGGGGAUUUUAUGCGGACACCAGUCUAACCCAUUUUGAGUGGUUCGUCCCUUCAGAUUGAUUACAGAUUUAAAAAAUAGGAAACAUGUUUUUGAUUAACAACACCCUUUAUAUAUAUAGAUAAUUCAACACAUUCCUGAAAGCAUACCACCUAUAUGAUGAAUUAUAAAGUUGGUUGUAUGGUACAGAUAUGGAUGUGUUGUGUAGUUGAAGAUGGAAAUGCAAAAUAAAACAUUAUAGUUUUGUGUAACACUAAAUAUAGUUUGUAAUGAAUAUUUUUGAGAUGUAAUGCUGAAAAACAAGAGUUUACCGAACUCUCGUCUUUCAAAAUUUUUUUUGUAAUUAAAACAAACUUUAUUUAAGAAGUCAAGUAAACAUUUACGGUUCUUGAGUAAAUUUAUACCACCAGAGGAGGGCCUGG